rnacentral:rRNA from 1 species
GGAGUUAGCCGGUGCUUCUUCUGCGAGUAACGUCACAGAUGUAAGGUAUUAACUUACACCCUUUCCUCCUCGCUGAAAGUGCUUUACAACCCGAAGGCCUUCUUCACACACGCGGCAUGGCUGCAUCAGGGUUUCCCCCAUUGUGCAAUAUUCCCCACUGCUGCCUCCCGUAGGAGUCUGGGCCGUGUCUCAGUCCCAGUGUGGCUGAUCAUCCUCUCAGACCAGCUAGGGAUCGUCGCCUAGGUGAGCCUUUACCUCACCUACUAGCUAAUCCCACCUGGGCUUAUCCAUCAGCGCAAGGCCCGAAGGUCCCCUGCUUUCCCCCGUAGGGCGUAUGCGGUAUUAGCAGUCGUUUCCAACUGUUAUCCCCCACAAAUGGGCAAAUUCCCAGGCAUUACUCACCCGUCCGCCGCUCGUCAUCUUCAAAAGCAAGCUUUUGAAAUGUUACCGCUCGACUUGCAUGUGUUAGGCCUGCCGCCAGCGUCAAUCUGAACCAAGAUACAAAUUACUGA